rnacentral:rRNA from 1 species
GACAGCAGCAGCCACGGGAAUACGAAGGGGGCUAGCGUUGUUCGGAUUUACUGGGCGUAAAGCGCGCGUAGGCGGAUCGAUCAGUCAGGGGUGAAAUCCCAGAGCUCAACUCUGGAACUGCCUUUGAUACUGUCGAUCUGGAGUAUGGAAGAGGUGAGUGGAAUUCCGAGUGUAGAGGUGAAAUUCGUAGAUAUUCGGAGGAACACCAGUGGCGAAGGCGGCUCACUGGUCCAUUACUGACGCUGAGGUGCGAAAGCGUGGGGAGCAAACAGGAUUAGAUACCCCAGUAGUCCCUGUCUCUUAUAC